rnacentral:misc_RNA from 1 species
GAUGAAGAACGUAGCGAAAUGCGAUAAGCAGUGUGAAUUGCAGAAUUCAGUGAAUCAUCGAAUCUUUGAACGCACAUUGCGCCCGCCAGUAUUCUGGCCGGCAUGCCUGUUCGAGCGUCAUUUCAACCCUCAAGCACAGCUUGGUGUUGGGACUCGCGUUAAUUCGCGUUCCCCAAAUUGAUUGGCGGUCACGUCGAGCUUCCAUAGCGUAGUAGUAAAACCCUCGUUACUGGUAAUCGUCGCGGCCACGCCGUUAAACCCCAACUUCUGAAUGUUGACCUCGGAUCAGGUAGGAAUACCCGCUGAACUUAAGCAUAUCAAUAAGCGGAGGA